CUCUUUAAACGGCCGCGGUAUCCUAACCGUGCAAAGGUAGCAUAAUCACUUGUCCCCUAAAUCGGGACUAGAAUGAAUGGCUAAAUGAGGACUAAACUGUCUCUUACAGGCUAGCCAAUGAAAUUGAUUUCCCAGUACAAAAGCUGGAAUACACCCAUAAGACGAGAAGACCCUGUGGAGCUUCAAAACCAAACCAUUUAAUAUGUCCCUUGGUUUUUUAGUUGGGGCGACUUCGGAAUACAACAAAACUUCCAAAAUAAGAUCAACCCAUUAAGGUUAACACACCAAAAUCUCCACAUAGACCCAGCAACUAAUUUUUUGUCUGACCAAUGAACCAAGUUACCCCAGGGAUAACAGCGCAAUCUCCUUUUAGAGUCCAUAUCGACAAGGGGGUUUACGACCUCGAUGUUGGAUCAGGACACCCCAAUGGUGCAGCC
rnacentral:rRNA from 1 species